UACGUAGGGUGCAAGCGUUAAUCGGAAUUAUUGGGCGUAAAGCGUGCGCAGGCGGUUCGUUAUGUCCGAUGUGAAAGCCCCGAGCUCAACUUGGGAAUGGCAUUGGAAACUGGCGGGCUGGAGUGUGGCAGAGGGGGGUGGAAUUCCACGUGUAGCAGUGAAAUGCGUAGAGAUGUGGAGGAACACCAGUGGCGAAGGCGGCGAUCUGGGAAGAUACUGACGCUGAGGUGCGAAAGCGUGGGGAGCAAACAGG
rnacentral:rRNA from 1 species